AAGGACUGAGGCGGAGGCCAGCCUGGAGGCGGAGGCCAGCCUGGAAGUCCUGGAUGCGUCCAACCUGGAAGGGGCAGCAUGGAGGGGCCAGGUGGCGGCUCCUCAUCCAGUAAAGUUAAACUCUUCUUCAGUGCAUCAUGAAAGGGGAGAAAUGUUCCAGUGUGCAACUGGAACUUGUCUCUCACAUUACAGAAGGGCCCAGAGGCGGCCAACCUGGAAGGCCUGGAGACGGCGGAGGUCCUGGAGGCGGAGGCCAACCUGGAGGUCCUGGAGGCGGUGGGCCUGGAGGCGGCGGCGGCAGCGGCCAUCCUGGAGGCGGACUACCUGGAGGUCCUGGAGGCGGAUUGUGGAGACCAUCCUGGAGGGCCUGGAGGUGGCGUCCACAUGGUGGCGGCCGGCCUGGAGGCGGUGGCCAACCUGGAGGUCCUGGAGGCGGUGGGCCUGGAGGCGGCGGCGGCAGCGGCCAUCCUGGAGGCGGACUACCUGGAGGUCCUGGAGGCGGAUUGUGGAGACCAUCCUGGAGGUCCUGGAGGUGGCGUCCACAUGGUGGUGGCCGGCCUGGAGGCGGUGGCCAACCUGGAAGUCCUGGAGGCGGUGGGCCUGGAGGCGGCGGCAGCGGCCAUCCUGGAGGCGGACUACCUGGAGGUCCUGGAGGCGGAUUGUGGAGACCAUCCUGGAGGGCCCGGCGGCGGCGUCCUGGAGGGCCCGGAGGCGGAGGCUCCUCAUCCAAAGAAAUGAGGCGACGUUGCGGAGGUCCAGGCGGUUGGCCCGGUGGAGGUCCUGGAGGAGACGGCCUGGAGGUGGAGGACGGCUGGGGGAUCCGGCGGUGGAGGUCCGAAGGCAGCUCGUGUUUAGACCAACCAGCUCCUCAUCCAUGGAAGGUAAGCUCCUUCUCCAGGUCAAUCUGAUCAACGAGAAAAUCAAAGAACGGAGCCAUGAACUGGUGGUAUCGCCAUUUGGGGCCUAAACUCUAAUGUUUGACUCAAGUAACUGCAGUGUUUCCCCCAGCACUGUAUGGUUAAGGCCGUCUUAACAGUAGGGCCCCACCUUGACUACCAAUGUAGAAAAAUUAUAUAUAAAAAAUAAUUAUGCAAUAACAAAGUGCAAAACUCGUAGGGAAAGAGAACAUGCUUUCCUCAAGUACAAAAAAUAUAGAUAAAUAAUUUGUUGGUAAUACUGUAUACUGUUCAAAACAAUAGUCGUGCCAUAAAGCAUUUUGAAUGCAAUUAAAAAGGCGGUUGUAUGUAUUAUUGCGAACUGAAACCCUCACCGAAGACCCCCCCCCACCACCUUGACUAAGACAUUGUCUGGGGGAAACACUGAACUGGGUUGUAUCACUUAGUAGUGAGUACACUAGGGUAGCUGGGUUAUCUCCAAAUGGUAACUGAGUGUUUGCUCCAGCAGGAUUGAAGGAGUCACUGGGGAUGAAGAUCACUGCUCAGGGGCUGACGACCCCCCCCCCCCCCCUCCUCAUCUUUCUGGAGAAGGUGUAUAAAUCUACAGCUGAUGUGAUUAAAGUUCUGCAGUUCAGAUCCGCUGAUAAAUGGUCCCAUACCGUAUCCACAGCGUCCUCAUGGUGCAGGCGGUCAAACCUCCACCUCUUUGAAGAGACCAAGCAGCUUGAUGACUGACUGGUUCCUUAUACUCAGGACCUCGAGCAGAGGAUAGACCUAAGGCCUACAGCGCAGCAGACUAGAGACUCCAUGUGGAACCGGUAAGAUACUGGAUUCAACAUCUUGAAGACAUUUUCAUUUAUUCAACAGGCUUAGUUUUGUUUGGCGGGUAUGUUGCUUUGCUUCUAGGGGCUUCUUCUGUAACAAACUUUCUAGAGAAUAAGAUCCGACUUCAGCCAAUCAGUGGGAUGUCCUUGAACAAGAGCCAAUGGCUGAAGGUGCUCAAACGCAUUCUUUUGACUCGCUCCUCUACUGUUGCUGUAAUCAAGCUGGAUCGCUAUUUUGCUCCUUCUACUGACAAAAUCAAGUCUGCCACCUGGUGGCCGAUGAGGGCGUAGCAAAUCGGGGCACAUUGGAAACAUGAUAAGAGCCUGUUUUUGAUGGUUGGAUCGUACACCUAAAUGUUUUUACAUCAAAAUAUCACCGAACCCCAUGUUGGACAAUGCUUGUUUUCAUCCUUUCUAUGUUUAGCUUUGAUUUAUCCUUACCUUUUCAUGUGACCCAUUCCCCUUAGGUUCAAUUAAGUUGACCUCUCCUUCAGGCGACUUAAAGGGAGACCAGAUGUGCGGCAGCUGGGUGUCAUGGUGCAGAGACCCAACGCUGGUAAAUAUUUACUUCCUCCUUGAACAGACCUAACACGUCAAACGGCAAUUAUAUAAUCCCUCCUGAUCUUUAUAAAGGUCUGAAGACCAGUCUUUUCUGUGAACAUCUCCACUGAUGAGUGUGCUCUUAAUUAAAUUAAAGUUAAUUAAAUGCAGUAACUCCAAUGCACCUGGAGGCUCGUAUUGACAUUUUUUGAAACCUGGUUCUCCAGCACUAGGACUGUUGCGGUAAAUAAAUGUUUUUUUGCUAAUUUAAGUCUAUGAAAUCAAAUGCUGAUUGAGACCAGAUGGGGCUGUUCCUGCAUUUAUAGACAUUUCAUUGCCCUUGAAACUGAUUCUACUUUUUGCAUCAAUUUACUUCACAGUACUGAACUACACCAGUGUGUCCUACUCCCCAUAAACCCUGAGGAUCCCUGGCUACACCAGCACAUUAAUCCACACCCAACAUUAACACACAGUGCACACUCUAUAGAGCUUGUAAGUCCGCCCCUUGCGGCGGGACCUCGUGAGAUCGUAAAAUAUGACUGGGUUUCAAUGGAGAGAAAGUAAAUAUUUUCUCCAUUAUGUUGCACCACAUUUUGGGGGAAGAAUGUUUGAAUCAAUCUUUGUCAUUUAUUUCUGUACUCCAUAUCUGUAAUCCCAGCUGUUGUAUUUUAACACGGUAGCUGGGAACCCUCUUUAUAGGGAGCGACUAGAGGGACGAGGCUGGAAGCAAACCUGAGCCUGGAUCUUAACCUUCUUUCUAAACCUAAUGCCGCAAUUUAACCUCAAAUAAAGUGAGGCCUAAAGUAACUUGACUCUCUUGCCUAAACUCGCUUGCAUAAAACCUGAACUUGCUUGGCUAAACUCGCUUGCCUAAUACCUGAACUUGCUUGCCUAAACUCGCUUGCCUAAUACCUGAACUCGCUUGCCCAAUACCUGAACUUGCUUGCGUAAACUCGCUUGCCUAAUACCUAAACUCGCUUGCCUAAACUCGCUUGCCUAAACUCGCUUGCCUAAACUCGCUUGCCUAAACUCGCUUGCCUAAUACCUGAACUUGCUUGCCUAAACUCGCUUGCCUAAUACCUAAACUCGCUUGCCUAAACUCGCUUGCCUAAUACCUGAACUUGCUUGCCUAAACUCGCUUGCCUAAUACCUGAACUCGCUUGCCUAAUACCUGAACUUGCUUGCGUAAACUCGCUUGCCUAAUACCUAUUACUCGCUUGCCUAAUACCUGAACUCGCUUGCCUAAACUCGCUUGCCUAAUACCUGAACUUGCUUGCAUAAAACCUAACGUGCUUAGCUUGACUCGCUUGCCUGUACUCGCUUGGCUAAACUCGCUUGCCUAAUACCUGUAGUCCCUUGCCUAAAACCUAAACUUGCUUGUCCAAACACGUUACACAAAGUUAACCAUCCAUAAUCUUUAACCCAAACCAGACUUGUCCCUGGGUCGCUCCACUUUAAUUAAGAAGUUUCUUCUUUUACCUCAUCUGCGUUUUGAGUUUCAUUCUUUGAGGGCUUGAAGUGCUUUGGAGGAUAUUUGAACCUUUGUUCGCCAAAUGUUCAGUGUCCUUGAAUGUAAUGUCUAUGGUCUGACGAUAAUCUGACCUCUUCAUGAAGCAGAAUGUGUGUGAAUGUUGUCCCGUGAGCUCCAGGCUCUCUGUGGGCCUGUCAACGUCUCUUUAGCAAAAGGUUGGAGAGUGAAAUUCAUUUUUGUGCCAUUUUCAUGUGUUCCUGAGUAUUUCAGACCUGUGGUGUUUCACAUGAGACCUUAAUGGGAACAUUUCUUUUUCUGCCUGCAUACGUAAUGCCUACAUUAGUAGGGUGAUCACUGUUGAUCCCAAUAUUGUUCAUUAACCACCUCAUUCUUGUAUGAUUUUUUUCGAUAAGGAUUACAAAUCAUGUAAUUUGAGCAUAUUUGCAAAUGGCUCCAAAUAUCAGAUUGUGUAAACGAAUGAAAUGUAACCUGCUUGAUUUAAAGAAAAUAAAACAUCCAAAUAUUAUAAACCUGUUUUGUGUUGCUCUCUUACAUGUGGAAAUAAAACGCAGAUAGAUAUGUUUAGCUCUGAUUUGCUGCCUCCUUUUGGUGUGGUGCUGGGAUUUGUUUAAUAUACUAUUAUCAUUGCCAGGAUAAGUUAAUAACCUAGUAUAGCCUACCCGGAAAAGAAGGGAUAUGAUGGCCAGGGCAGGCUGUUUCGGUGUCCUGUUAACAUAUUGUGAGCGGAUUUGUGAACAUUCUCGGUGAAGGAAAUUCAAUUGCAAACGUUAAUCAACAUGCAGGACCAUUCAGCGAACACUUCACAUAUUUCUC
ensembl:lncRNA